rnacentral:rRNA from 1 species
CAGCAGCCACGGGAAUACGGAGGGGGCUAGCGUUGUUCGGAAUUACUGGGCGUAAAGCGCACGUAGGCGGCUUUGUAAGUUAGAGGUGAAAGCCCGGAGCUCAACUCCGGAAUUGCCUUUAAGACUGCAGAGCUAGCAGGUGAGAGAGGUGAGUGGAAUUCCGAGUGUAGAGGUGAAAUUCGUAGAUAUUCGGAAGAACACCAGUGGCGAAGGCGGCUCACUGGCUCAUACUGGACGCUGAGGUGCGAAAGCGUGGGGAGCAAACAGGAUUAGAUACCCCCGUAGUCCCUGUCUCUUAUAC